UUAAGCCUUCUGUAGCUGUUGGUCCAGUGCAAAAAGGAUGAGAAAUACAAUUCCCAUUGGGGCAGGGGAGCAGCAACACUCAGAGGAAAGUUCAGGUGGGAUCUGCGGUCCUGUGCAACUGUGGGUACGCAGUAAGGAGGGCGGCUGCCCUUCCUUCCCUUGGUGCCUACAGCUGGCUCGUGUUGUCGGACUCGCAGCUGAUGCCCCUUGGCCGAUCAUGCAUUGCUGA
rnacentral:lncRNA from 1 species